UGCGGUUUGGUGUAAUAGUAACAUAUGAGACUCAUGAUCUCAUGUAAAAGGUGCAAAUCCUUUAUCCGCAU